GCCGCGUCAGCCGGCGUUCUCCGUGCCCCCGCCGCCGAGGACGGCGGUGACGGUCUCGGCGAGCCGGCCGAGGUGCGGCGGCCUCAGCACGCCG
rnacentral:tRNA from 1 species